GAACAGCUGGUGGUCUUAACUGCUGAGCCAUCUCUCUGGCCCCUGAAAACCUUUUUAAUAACUUUUCAUUUUCUUUGUUUUACAGUGGUUGCCAUUUGCCAUUUCGCCUCUAUGGUAUUCUAUUUUGCAGGCAAUCAUAGGAAGGAUGAUAUUGUUGCUCCCACAAACAAGACGAUGGGACCUUGAAUAAUGAAAGCCACUUUUGAGCAAAGUCCUGGUUCAAAAGCUAGAGCUAAUCUUCCCCACCUGGAGGGUAAAUGACUGAUUUAAAGGCUGAUGAAACUAAAGCUAACUUUCUCUCUGACUCACCUCCACAGCUGAAAUUCCCGUCUUCAUUGAGUGCAAGCUCCAUAUACUUCAUACCAUUGAUUGAUUUGCUAUCCACUCCAGAAUCCCCCUCAUUAGUGCCUCAGGAAGCCUUACUUUGAAAGAAGGCUUUGCUAAGCUGCCCAUGUUAGCUUUGCCGAGCAGUCAGGAGGCAUACAUGACCACAUGCUGUGAGACUACUAUUGCUAAAGAUGAUAAUUGUAGUCAUCUCUCUUCAUCAAGGAAACUUCUCUUCGAAACAGAUGGAAACCACUACAGAACACCACAACCAAUCAAUAUGCAGGGUUAUGGAACCCAGUCCCAAUGCAUACAUCUGUAAAAACACUCCUGCACCCAAGGCUCAGGGAACAUUGCUGAAGAGGGGAUGGAAAGACUGUAAGAGCCAGAGCAUCAGGGAGUUUGCUAUGAGAUUAUGUCUUCUAGUAACAUCAGAAGCUACACCAAAUGUGAUCUGAACAAGGAUGACACCAAAUGGACAUGCCAAAACAAGGGAAAAGCCCAGGAGGCCUCAACCCUACACAAAGAACUAUAGGCAAUAGAGGAGAGCUGGGAACAAGACAGGUGGUCUUCCCCAGAGAAGAGCACACCAGUUGGUUGUCCUGUGCCAAAUGGUCAGUCCUGAAAACAGGCAUACAAAUAGCAUUAUACAAACUCAAUGGGUUAUAUUUAGGAAUAUAUAUAUAUAUAGGAAUAUAUAUAUAUAUAUAUAUGCAAUAACAAUUAGUGAAA